CCUACGGGUGGCAGCAGUGGGGAAUAUUGGACAAUGGGGGCAACCCUGAUCCAGCCAUGCCGCGUGUGUGAAGAAGGCCCUCGGGUUGUAAAGCACUUUCAGUGAGGAAGAACGCCUGGUGGUUAAUACCCAUCAGGAAAGACAUCACUCACAGAAGAAGCACCGGCUAACUCCGUGCCAGCAGCCGCGGUAAUACGGAGGGUGCGAGCGUUAAUCGGAAUUACUGGGCGUAAAGCGCGCGUAGGUGGCUUGAUAAGCCGGUUGUGAAAGCCCCGGGCUCAACCUGUGAACGGCAUCCGGAACUGUCAAGCUAGAGUGCAGGAGAGGAAGGUAGAAUUCCCGGUGUAGCGGUGAAAUGCGUAGAGAUCGGGAGGAAUACCAGUGGCGAAGGCGGCCUUCUGGACUGACACUGACACUGAGGUGCGAAAGCGUGGGUAGCAAACAGGAUUAGAUACCCUUGUAGUC
rnacentral:rRNA from 1 species